rnacentral:rRNA from 1 species
AUGCUGGACUAUUCUUAGUCCGGCAAUUGGAAUGAGAGUGACCCAAAACCACACUCGAGUAACCAUUGGAGGGCAAGUCUGGUGCCAGCAGCCGCGGUAAUUCCAGCUCCAAUAGCGUAUAUUAAAGUUGUUGCAGUUAAAAAGCUCGUAGUCUGAGUCUUGGCUGGUGGUGAGUGUCCGUGGCCCCUUCUGUGGGUCACGCGCAUGCGAUAUUCCACCCGGCCACUGUACUUCGGAGUUCUGUGUGCUGUGCUUUUCAUUAAGUGCGGUGCACAUUAGGGAUUCCGAUAGUUUACUUUGAGAAAAAUAGAGUGUUCAAGGCAGGCGUUGUGCCACUUUUGAAUACAUUAGCAUGGGAUAAUGAAAUAGGACAUUGGUUCUAUUUUGUUGGUUUACGGACCGAUGUAAUGAUUAAUAGGAACAGUUGGGGACAUUUAUAUUCCAUGGCUAGAGGUGAAAUUCUUGGAUUCAUGGAAGAUAAACUACUGCGAAAGCAUUUGUCAAAGAUGUUUUCAUUGAUCAAGAACGAAAGUUAGGGGAGCAAAGACGAUCAGAUACCGUCGUAGUCUUAACCAAAACGAUGCCGACUAGGGAUCGGUGGGUGUUACCAAAUAUGACUCCAUCGGCACCUCUCUAUGGGAAACCAAUAAGUCUUUGGGUUCCGGGGGGAGUAUGGUCGCAAGGCUGAAACUUAAAGGAAUUGACGGAAGGGCACCACCAGGAGUGGAGCCUGCGGCUUAAUUUGACCCAACACGGGAAAACUCACCAGGUCCAGACAUGGUAAGGAUUGACAGAUUGAGAGCUCUUUCUUGAUUCCAUGAAAGGUGGCGCAUGGCCGUUCUUAGUUGGUGGAGUGAUUUGUCUGGUUAAUUCCGUUAACGAACGAGACCUUGACCUGCUAAUUAGUCACCGUAAAGCACCCCUGGUUCUUUGCGGGCUGUACUUCUUAGAGGGACAAUCUGUGUUUCCAGCAGAUGGAAGCGCGAGGCAAUAACAGGUCUGUGAUGCCCUUAGAUGUCCUGGGCUGCACGCGCGCUACACUGACGAACGCAACGAGUUUAUCACCUUGGCAGAGAUGUCUGGGUAAUCUUUUAAAAGUUCGUCGUGAUGGGGAUAGAUGAUUGUAAUUAUUCGUCUCGAACGAGGAAUUCCUAGUAAGUGUGAGUCAUCAGCUCGCGCUGAUUGCGUCCCUGCCCUUUGUACACACCGCCCGUCGCUCCUACCGAUUGAAUGGUCCGGUGAGAACGUCGGAUCACGCGCUCGUUACCGCAAGGCGACUUGUGCGAGAGAAGUUGUUCAAACCUUACCAUUUAGAGGAAGGAGAAGUC